AUCUUUGAAGCAUUAGACACUGAAUGUGCUGGUGCCCUGAUCUUGAACUUGUCAUCCUCCAGAACUGUGAACAAUAAAUUUCUCUAGUUUACAAAUUACCCAGUGUAAGAUAUUUAGUUACAGUAGCCCAAACAGACUAAGCUAGUCCCACAGAAAUCAGUGACCCCAAAGAAAGGAAAGAACCGUAUGCUGAUUGAGUCUCCUGUUGGUUGGGAUCAUUAUUCCCGAUUCCUAACAUUUCCUUCCUCAUAGAGGGACCUCCAGUAGAGUGACACUUUGGGCCUCUUUCUGUCUCUUCUAUGGGCAGCAGUUUACCUGACUGGUAAGUUUGGGAUAAAAACCCAAGGCAUGUACUAUUUUCCAGAACAUUUCUGAAAUAUAUUUAUUACUUCUUCUCUGUUCCAUGAAAACAUUUUCUUUUUGUGUUUCAGGUCUUUCUCAUUUUUUACCUGGAUGAUUAAACAUAGGCAAUAUGCCUCUCUCUCAUUCUGGGCCACACCUGCCCCCCAUCAAUCUCUAUAACACUUCUGUCAGAAUUACCUUUCUAAAACACUAAUGUGAUUCCAUUACUCUGUUCCUUGCUCCUAUUCGUGAGAUUCCUAGCCCCUCUGCUCCCUUAGCCCUGCACUUUCUCUCCAGCCUCCAUUUUCAUCCCAGGAGUUGCUCAGAGGUUCCAUCUGGGAAGUGCCUCUUCUUCAUUCCCUCAUCAGAUUCCUUCUCAUCCACAAAGACUCUAUUCAUGUUUUACCUCUUCUGACACAUGCUACCUUGGUAUUCUGCAGAUGCCGUGCAUGCAUUUGUGCAUACCUGUCCAGCCCCAUUUCUCACUCCAGGUGGUAUAGCAAGAACGGCCACUCCAAGAGAGCUACUGACCUAUGUGUCCAGAUCUCACUGGACCACUCCAUUUAUUAACUGCUUCACAUUAUCUGAUGAGAUGGGUUACUAAAACUUGUGACAUGAUUUCUGGCCCUACAUUCUCCUUUGUGCUUUCUUUAUCAACACGGUAAUGAAAAUUGGAACUCUGGUUGAAGCCAACUAUUUCUUCUCCCUCUGGCUGUUCCACUCAACAUUAGCAACCAGGUAAGUAACUCAGGUGGUGAUGGGAGGAAAGUGGAAACAUAGAAAACUGGCCCAGAUAGUCAGUUGUUUCUUUUCUGUUGUUGCUUUGGGGUAUUUUUAUCUAAAACCCUGGAAGUUAAGAAGAUAAACUUGGAGAGCCAUGCUCUAAACUCCUACCUCAACCCCCUAUUACUGCAUACCUGUUAAUAAAGUUUCUAUCACACGCCAUUUGCCAUUAAUUUGGGUAGAAAAGUAGUACAUAUGUCUCUGCCAUUAGACUUUGGAUCUUUAAGUCAGAGUUCAUAUGUUAUUUUGUAUCCCUCACACCAAAGAUGUCAUGGUAAAAUGCAAUAAAUGUGUUCAGAAUAAAUUAAAAUUGUGAUUUGUAGUUUUCAAAAACUCUUUUAACUGUUUCCUGCAAAUUGAGCGAAAAAGAAAAUGAGUUGGGAGUUUAACUAAGCAUAUCCAUACUAACUAGUUCUUUCAAGGCUGGAACAAUAUAAUGGAUUUUACUG
rnacentral:lncRNA from 1 species